AACGAACGCUGGCGGCAUGCCUAACACAUGCAAGUCGAACGAGACCUUCGGGUCUAGUGGCGCACGGGUGCGUAACGCGUGGGAACCUGCCCUUAGGUUCGGAAUAACUCCCCGAAAGGGGUGCUAAUACCGGAUAAUGUCUUCGGACCAAAGAUUUAUCGCCUUUGGAUGGGCCCGCGUUGGAUUAGCUAGUUGGUAGGGUAAAAGCCUACCAAGGCGACGAUCCAUAGCUGGUCUGAGAGGAUGAUCAGCCACACUGGGACUGAGACACGGCCCAGACUCCUACGGGAGGAAGCAGUGGGGAAUAUUGGACAAGGGGCGAAAGCCUGACCCAGCAAUGCCGCGUGAGUGAUGAAGGCCUUAGGGUUGUAAAGCUCUUUUACCCGGGAUGAUAAUGACAGUACCGGGAAAAUAAGCCCCGGCUAACUCCGU
rnacentral:rRNA from 1 species